CACAAGGUCUUGGUCUUAAACCCCUUAUUACUUACAUCCCUAAUUAUACAUGCAAGCCUCACCACUACAGUGAAACAGCCCACCACACCGGUCGGAGCAGGUAUCAGGCAAUAAAGCCUACAACACCAAGCAAAACCAGCCACACCCCCACGGGUCCACAGCAGUAGAUAAUAUUAGGCUAUAAGCGCAAGCUUGACCUAGCAAGGGACUUUUAGGGCCGGUUAAUCUCCGUGCCAGCGACCGCGGUUAUACGACAGACCCAAGAUAAUACUAACGGCGUAAAGCACGACUAAUAAUAGGUCUAAACAUUAGGAACGAAGCCACACUGGGCUGUAAAAAGCCAUAAGUCGCACUAACCACACCCUAAUAACAAACAACUCCCACUCGUGAAAGCUAGGGUACAAACUAAGAUUAGAUACCUUACUAUGCCUAACCAUAACACAACAAUUAAAUCACCCAUUGUUCGCCAAAUAACUACGAGUAAAAACUUAAAAUUUAAAAGACUUGACGGUACCUCAUAACAACCUAGAGGAGCCUGUCUAAUAACCGAUACCCCACGAUCAACCCAACCCACUCUAGCCUAACAGUCUAUAUACCGCCGUCGCCAGCCUACCUUGUGAAAGAAACAAAGUGAGCCUAAUAAUCACACACUAACACGACAGGUCGAGGUGUAACUCAUGGGUGGGCCUAAGAUGGGCUACAUUUUCUAAUACAGAAAAUACGAAUUUUUAGCUAUGAAAAAGAAACUGAAGGCGGAUUUAAUAGUACACUGAGGACAACAUGCUCAGUCGAAACUAACGCAAUGAGGUGCGUACACACCGCCCGUCAUCCCUGUUAAUAAACCAAUAAAAAUACAUAAAACAAACUUCCACCUUUAAGCAGGGCAAGUCGUAACAUGGUAAGCGUACUGGAAAGUGCGCUUAGAAA
rnacentral:ncRNA from 1 species